AAAUUAGCGGAUGACCUGUGGCUGGGGGUGAAAGGCCAAUCAAACCGGGAGAUAGCUGGUUCUCCCCGAAAGCUAUUUAGGUAGCGCCUCGUGAACUCAUCUUCGGGGGUAGAGCACUGUUUCGGCUAGGGGGCCAUCCCGGCUUACCAACCCGAUGCAAACUACGAAUACCGAAGAAUGUUAUCACGGGAGACACACGGCGGGUGCUAACGUCCGUCGUGAAGAGGGAAACAACCCAGACCGCCAGCUAAGGUCCCAAAGUCAUGGUUAAGUGGGAAACGAUGUGGGAAGGCACAGACAGCCAGGAUGUUGGCUUAGAAGCAGCCAUCAUUUAAAGAAAGCGUAAUAGCUCACUGGUCGAGUCGGCCUGCGCGGAAGAUGUAACGGGGCUAAACCAUGCACCGAAGCUGCGGCAGCGACGCUUAGGCGUUGUUGGGUAGGGGAGCGUUCUGUAAGCUGUUGAAGGUGUGCUGUGAGGCAUGCUGGAGGUAUCAGAAGUGCGAAUGCUGACAUAAGUAACGAUAAAGCGGGUGAAAAGCCCGCUCGCCGGAAGACCAAGGGUUCCUGUCCAACGUUAAUCGGGGCAGGGUGAGUCGACCCCUAAGGCGAGGCCGAAAGGCGUAGUCGAUGGGAAACAGGUUAAUAUUCCUGUACUUGGUGUUACUGCGAAGGGGGGACGGAGAAGGCUAUGUCAGCCGGGCGACGGUUGUCCCGGUUUAAGCAUGUAGGCGGAGGUUCCAGGUAAAUCCGGUACCUUAUUAACGCUGAGGUGUGAUGACGAGGCACUACGGUGCUGAAGUGAUAAAUGCCCUGCUUCCAGGAAAAGCCUCUAAGCAUCAGGUAACACGAAAUCGUACCCCAAACCGACACAGGUGGUCAGGUAGAGAAUACCAAGGCGCUUGAGAGAACUCGGGUGAAGGAACUAGGCAAAAUGGUGCCGUAACUUCGGGAGAAGGCACGCUGAUA
rnacentral:rRNA from 1 species